rnacentral:rRNA from 1 species
UACGUAGGUGGCAAGCGUUUGUCCGGAAUUAUUGGGCGUAAAGCGCGCGCAGGUGGUUCCUUAAGUCUGAUGUGAAAGCCCACGGCUCAACCGUGGAGGGUCAUUGGAAACUGGGGAACUUGAGUGCAGAAGAGGAAAGUGGAAUUCCACGUGUAGCGGUGAAAUGCGUAGAGAUGUGGAGGAACACCAGUGGCGAAGGCGACUUUCUGGUCUGUAACUGACACUGAGGCGCGAAAGCGUGGGGAGCAAACAGG